rnacentral:misc_RNA from 1 species
AAAGGGGAGAGAAUCGCGACAUGUAUCAAGAAUGGCGUUUCUCAUCAAGAACGGAAGAAUAAGUUUAAAAAGUUUUGUUGGUGGGGCUUGCAUAGUUUUUGUGCCAUGGAUAUCACACCUAGGAUCUAGCUUGCAAUAUCUCUACACAGACUUUUGGUUAUACUUGCUACUAUUAUAUAUAAUUUUGUACAAUGGCGGCUUGGUGCUCUUUAGUUUCAUUACAACAGGUGGCAUCCAGUCUGAAUUCUACAAGGUGGCUGUUCGAGGGUGUUUCCUGGGACUGACUUUUGGAAUCGGCUAUCUCAUCAGUUGCUCACACACAACUCUGAACCAUUUCGGUUGGUACUUGAUGGGUCUCAGUUUCUUCCAUUUCUCUGAGUAUCUCACCACAGCGGCUACCAACCCCUCCUCCCUAACCCUUGACUCCUACCUGCUGGACCACAGCAGGGAGUACAAGAUGGCAGCAGUGGCCAGCUGGCUAGAGUUCUUUGUAGAGUGGUAUAUAGCACCAGGUUUAAAGCAGUACUUUUAUUUAUCAGUCUGUGGUGUGCUACUAGUCCUAUUUGGAGAAUCUCUGAGGAAAGCCAGUAUGAUAACAGCCUCUACGAACUUUAACCAUUAUGUACAGUACGUCAAACGUCCCGGCCAUCAGCUGGUCACCAAGGGAGUGUACUCUUGGUGCCGACAUCCGUCCUACGUGGGUUGGUUUUACUGGAGUAUUGGAACACAGAUUUUCUUUUUCAGUUGAUAUUAUGCAAUCCCUUUUGCCUAAUAGCCUACACAAUAGUGUCAUGGAGAUUUUUCCGGGAGAGGAUUUACGAAGAAGAAAUCUAUCUUUUGAACUUUUUCGGUGAGGAUUAUUUAGACUACCAGAAAUCCGUUGGGACUGGAUUACCAUUCAUUGUCGGAUACACGGGUUACUCAGCACUUUAGGAUUUACUCGUCUUGUAGCCAUUUAGCAGUUAAAUCCAAUGGUUCCGAACUCUGCAGACUUUCUAGUGAAUUAUUAAUAAAAUAUAUUCCUUCAAACUAAGUGUUGACAUGCAAUGCACUCAAAAAAUGUCAGGGUUACCUAUUUUUACAAGAAUUGUUUUCAAAUUUUCAGCACCCUUGGUGCAUUUUUAGGCAUGACAUUUAUAUUUUUAUCAAUAACUACAAAACCAGAGUUAUAUACUUAAAAAGAAUACUCAGAUUGUCAAUCCAUGUUUUAUCCCAGCUUAUUUUGACAUUUCUAUUGAAUUGUGUACUAAAUCAUGGAGAAAAACACAUGGUCAGCCUCUGAUUUUUACGAAUCUAUUUUAUUGUGCAUAAGAGUUACCAACAAACUGGUAAAUUUCUACAAGAAAAUUAAAGUUUUAAUAGAAAAUACACUUAAAUUGAAAAAACUUUUUUUUAAGUUACGGUAUUGUAACCUUUAUUAUUGAGUGUUUUCUUUUGUACAUGAUAUUUCCACAGUAUUAAACAUGGGGCCACUUGUUUGUGUACCAUAUUCUUGAACAUUUAGUCUGCUGUCUGCAUUUGUCUUUCUUUUUGGGGAUUAUAAUUAACACGAUGAAUUAUGAAGAAGGCAUGAUGCAUUUAUUUUAAUAGAAUUUGAUUUUUAUUUGAACAUUUUAAUAAAGCAUUCUUGAAUGCUAAAAACAU